rnacentral:misc_RNA from 1 species
GAUGAAGAACGUAUCGAAAUGCGAUACGUAGCGUGAAUUGCAGAAUUCAGUGAAUCAUCGAAUCUUUGAACGCACAUUGCACCUCUCGGUAUUCCGGGAGGUAUGCCUGUUCGAGCGUCAUUUGUACCCUCAAGCUCUGCUUGGUGUUGGGUGUUUGUUCCGCCUCUGUGUGUGAACUCGCCUCAAAACAAUUGGCAGCCGGCGUACUUGUUUCGGAGCGCAGCACAUUUUGCGAUCCAGAUCAACGUACAGCGGCAUCCAAGAAGCCUUAUUUAACGCUCUUGACCUCGGAUCAGGUAGGGAUACCCGCUGAACUUAAGCAUAUCAAUUAGCGGAGGA